GAGUCUAAGCGACCUUCACUAACGAUUUAUGCAAUUGCAUCAUUGCCAAGUUCGUCCCGUGAAAACGCAAGUUUUGGCAGCCGAUACGAAAAUCGAGGCCCAAUCGCGUAAGCGAUGCUUAAUUGACACGAGAUAGAAAAAAAAAAGAUUUCCAACGAGCGUAAUUUGAGGCAUCGCUAAACUCAAUUAAGGGAUCGCUCGAUGUGUCAAGUCAGUAAGUUCCGAUAAGUUUUUAAAUAAAUUAAAAUUCUGGGAAAUUUUCAAUAUCGUCAUGUACAGAGUCCUUCACGAAUGUUACGCAAGUAGUUACGUAGACGACAUUAAGACUGCAAAGUAUGUUAGUGUAAUGUAUGUUAAUAUUACGUAAUUAAUACCGAUAGUGUCCAUUAUUGAUAAGAUAUUCCGUGUCAAAUACGAUUUAUCGAUAUAUCCUUCAAAUUGCGACACAUUUCAUAUUUAUAUUUGCAAAUCUCAUUGUCAAACGGACGCGUGGCUAGUGAUUAAAUGCUAGAACAGCUCCGGCCAGACGGACCUGCCAAUGGCGAAUUUUAGGCGCUAUAAAAAUGCAUCAAAUAGUACUAUUAAUUUAUUUUAGUACUGUAAAAUGUAUAUUUUUAAGAGUACGUUGUUGUAAAUAUACUUUAGCUACUUAAACAUACCGUCUAUACUUCAUUUAUUGCACCAUUCCGAUACUUUAUCGUAUAAUUUUAUUUUUGUACAUUUGUUGUAGACAUAAUUGUCGGAAACUAAUAGCGCAUUCUUGCAACAGAUGACUCCUACACAAUUGCUUGUGCUUUUAUAACAAGUUCCAAUUCCGGGUCCCUGAUUUUUAGAAUAUUUUCUCGAUUAAACAAAAAUCUCUGUUAUGGAUCUUAUUGUCCUGUCGUUUAAAAAGCAUAUGUAUUUUCGUAGAAAUUCGCAGUCUCGCUAUAAGGAUUACAAUGAAUCAACAUUCGACGGAAGAACGGCAAGACUUGCAAGAAUUUCGAUUGAUUAAGUAACGCAUCUGACGCAAGUGUGAUUAAACUUGUGUCAAACGUAAAUGGAGAGAACUGUUGAAACAACGUGAGAAAUCAGAGAAAUCGGGCAAAGUAGGCAUGUUUUUGUAUGAGAGAUAUUUUAUGUAUAUAUAUUAUUUUAUGAUAUAAAUCAAUAAUGUUUCUUAUAAACGUACAUGUACAUACAAAGCUAAACGAUACAAAAUAAAUCGGUGAUCCGGGAAAGAACGCUUGCACGAUUUAUUCUGCGUAUAUAAGGAAUCGGUACUAGAGCGGUAUACUUCGCGCGGAAGAGACAAAGAAGGACGAAAAACUAACGCACACGCUAUACGGGGACCAAAGGAUUGUUCUCGCGUAGAGAUUGAAUGUAGAAACUACGGUACUUCUCCCGAACUUCCAUGAAGCUCACUCUGAAGCUCGGAAUUCUAUGAAUAUUUAAAUCGAAUGGCGCGAAUUCGUAAUAUUUAUAUAUAUGUGUGUGUGUGUGUGUGUAUGUGUGUGUGUGUGUGUGUAAAAAAAUACGUGUAUUCGAACGAUGUGCCACGUGCAUAAGAAC